AGAGAGAGAGAGAGAGAGAGGAAAACGUAUCUGACGGCAGAGGGCCACCGUCCAGCCACGGGACUCAUCAGUCGUUGUUCCUUUUGCAGUUGUUUAGACUUGCGAGAUGGGUGAAAGCGAUAGACGAAGACUUUGCCAUAAGGAGUGCAAGUUUAAAGUUUAUCUUCUUAAAUUUGCUCUUCCCACUGACAUACCUUUAUUCUCUCGUUAUCGUCUUCUCUCUCUGUUAUUGAAUCGUUCUCCUCGCGGUUUGCUCCGUUUGAAGUUGAGCUUCCAGAUCUAAUUGAUGCUACUAUGGUCUGGCGUUCAAGAAUAUAGUUAUCACUGGGUUUUUAAAGGCCUAAUCAGAUUGCGAUGAACCUGUCCUGCCUCGGUGCAUUAAAAUUGAAAUUGAAAUCUCGUAAAGGGAAAAAUGUAGACUCUUCAACGCAGACAGAAGG